AGAGCGCAGGGUGGAUGCCUUGGCACUAAGAGCCGAUGAAAGACGCGAUAAGCUGCGAAAAGCCGCGGGGAGGAGCAAAUAUCUGUUGAUCCGCGGAUGUCUGAAUGGGGAAACCCGGCAGAGAAGACCUCUGUCACUGCAUGCUGAAUCCAUAGGCAUGCAGGGGGAACCCGGGGAACUGAAACAUCUAAGUACCCGGAGGAAAAGAAAUCAACCGAGAUUCCCCCAGUAGCGGCGAGCGACCGGGGAGGAGCCUGCAAGUGAUAGCACGAAUGUUAGCGGAACACUCUGGAAAGUGUGGCGAUAGAGGGUGAUAGCCCCGUACGCGAA
rnacentral:rRNA from 1 species